ACUGGAGAGCGGUUGCUAACGGCAACCCACCGAAGGGGCAAGUAGCUAAAUGCUACGGAAACUCUCAGGUACACAGGACAGAGGGAG
rnacentral:ncRNA from 1 species